rnacentral:rRNA from 1 species
AACGAACGCUGGCGGCAUGCCUAACACAUGCAAGUCGAACGAGACCUUCGGGUCUAGUGGCGCACGGGUGCGUAACGCGUGGGAACCUGCCCUUAGGCUCGGAAUAACUCCCCGACAGGGGUGCUAAUACCGGAAAAUGUCUUCGGACCAAAGAUUUAUCGCCUUUGGAUGGGCCCGCGUUGGAUUAGCUAGUUGGUAGGGUAAAAGCCUACCAAGGCGACGAUCCAUAGCUGGUCUGAGAGGAUGAUCAGCCACACUGGGACUGAGACACGGCCCAGACUCCUACGGGAGGCAGCAGUGGGGAAUAUUGGACAAUGGGCGAAAGCAUGAUCCAGCUAUGCCGCGUGAGUGAUGAAGGCGUUAGGGUUGUAAAGCUCUUUUACCCGGGAUGAUAAUGACGGUACCGGGAGAAUAAGCACCGGCUAACUCCGUG